rnacentral:tRNA from 1 species
GCGCCCGUAGCUCAACUGGAUAGAGCACAGGAUUGCGGAUCCUGGAGUUGGAGGUUCGAAUCCUCUCGGGCGCA